rnacentral:lncRNA from 1 species
CAGGGUUUCAAAGAUAACCUGCACGCUGUGUUCUGCUUGGCUGAGAAUGCAGUGGGACCCAAUGCCACUAGGCCGGAUGACAUUCACCUUUUGUAUUCAGGAAAGUAAGGCCUCCCUCUCAUGCCUUGCACUGUGCUCUAGACCUGUGGCUUCUUUCAGAGCCAGGCCAGGUCAGCCUGGUCCUAACCUUCUAAGGGAUGAGGUGUCCCAUGGUCCUGGGGAGGGCACGGGCCAUGGAGAUAGAGGAGCUGCAGGGACUGGGCUCCCUGGUACCAGAGGGAGGUCACGGCAAUGUUCAGUUGGAGCUGCGUUCCUGAGCCGGGGUCUGUGCCUUGCCCAGGACGGUAGAGAUCAACAACACGGACGCUGAGGGCAGGCUGGUGCUGGCAGACGGGGUGUCUUAUGCUUGCAAAGACCUGGGUGCUGACAUCAUUGUGGACAUGGCCACCCUGACAGGGGCACAGGGCAUUGCCACAGGGAAAUACCAUGCAGCCGUGCUCACCAACAGCGCCGAGUGGGAGGCGGCCUGUGUGAAGGCUGGGCAGAAGUGCGGGGACCUGGUCCACCCGCUGGUCUACUGCCCUGAGCUGCACUUCAGCGAGUUCACCUCAGCUGUGGCUGACAUGAAGAACUCAGUGGCGGACCGAGACAACAGCCCCAGCUCCUGUGCCGGCCUCUUCAUCGCCUCACACAUUGGAUUUGACUGGCCUGGAGUCUGGGUCCACCUGGACAUUGCCGCCCCAGUGC